UACAGGGGGGGCGAGCGUUGUUCGGAAUUACUGGGCGUAAAGGGCUUGUAGGUGGCCAACUAAGUCACACGUGAAAUCCCCAGGCUUAACCUGGGAACUGCGUGUGAUACUGGAUGGCUUGAAUCCGGGAGAGGGAUGCGGAAUUCCAGGUGUAGCGGUGAAAUGCGUAGAUAUCUGGAGGAACACCGGUGGCGAAGGCGGCAUCCUGGACCGGUAUUGACACUGAAAAGCGAAAGCCAGGGGAGCAAACGGG
rnacentral:rRNA from 1 species